rnacentral:rRNA from 1 species
GGGAGCCGGAGGGAAACCGAGUCUUAAUUGGGCGUUAAGUUGCAGGGUAUAGACCCGAAACCCGGUGAUCUAGCCAUGGGCAGGUUGAAGGUUGGGUAACACUAACUGGAGGACCGAACCGACUAAUGUUGAAAAAUUAGCGGAUGACCUGUGGCUGGGGGUGAAAGGCCAAUCAAACCGGGAGAUAGCUGGUUCUCCCCGAAAGCUAUUUAGGUAGCGCCUCGUGAAUUCAUCUCCGGGGGUAGAGCACUGUUUCGGCUAGGGGGCCAUCCCGGCUUACCAACCCGAUGCAAACUGCGAAUACCGGAGAAUGUUAUCACGGGAGACACACGGCGGGUGCUAACGUCCGUCGUGAAGAGGGAAACAACCCAGACCGCCAGCUAAGGUCCCAAAGUCAUGGUUAAGUGGGAAACGAUGUGGGAAGGCCCAGACAGCCAGGAUGUUGGCUUAGAAGCAGCCAUCAUUUAAAGAAAGCGUAAUAGCUCACUGGUCGAGUCGGCCUGCGCGGAAGAUGUAACGGGGCUAAACCAUGCACCGAAGCUGCGGCAGCGAACGUAUCACCCAAGACAACUUUACGGAGUUGACGAUUGACGGAGCGAAGCGACGUCAAAGCGUUCAUUAAAGUCGAGUUGGCUUAGGGAUACGUUCGUUGGGUAGGGGAGCGUUCUGUAAGCCUGUGAAGGUGUGUCGUGAGGCAUGCUGGAGGUAUCAGAAGUGCGAAUGCUGACAUAAGUAACGAUAAAGCGGGUGAAAAGCCCGCUCGCCGGAAGACCAAGGGUUCCUGUCCAACGUUAAUCGGGGCAGGGUGAGUCGACCCCUAAGGCGAGGCCGAAAGGCGUAGUCGAUGGGAAACGGGUUAAUAUUCCCGUACUUGGUGUUACUGCGAAGGGGGGACGGAGAAGGCUAUGUUGGCCGGGCGACGGUUGUCCCGGUUUAAGCGUGUAGGUGUGUGUUCCAGGUAAAUCCGGUUCACUUUAACACUGAGGCGUGACGACGAGGCACUACGGUGCUGAAGCAACAAAUGCCCUGCUUCCAGGAAAA